UAGGAGCCCAAGAAUUGCUCAUAAGGAGGAGCGAGUGCUCCUCUCGGCGGUCGUUGAAGCUCGCUCACCGGUCGCUCAGACCUCAAAUCGCUCGCCACCUGUUAGAAUGAGCUCGAGCCUCGACGCUCCGCGCGCCUGCCACUGUCCACGAGGAGAACGGGAUUGUAACGUGAGUGAUGAGGCAUACGAGCUGACCCUCGAGGCGGUAGGGUGGAUGGGUUUGAGUGGAGUCCCAUGCGCGAUGGGACGGUUCAGAUCCAGGAAGUGCACGCGUGCAGAUAGCCCAAAUCUACACAAAGCAGAUGUGUGUCCCACAGAAAACAGUUUUCGACCUGAGAAUUUGGAGGCGACGCAAACCUGUUCAAAGCAUGCUUAAAGUCACCCCUAGAUGUCAGCUACUUUUUCUAAAAACUGAACAGUUCCAUGAAGGUCAUGAAGGUGAAUGUGCUAUGGCCCAAGAGAGAAGCGAGCAUCUGCUUCCAGAGAAAAGUGGUCAGUCGUCUGUGGUUAGCCCACUGAAGUCUCUUCCCUGAAAUGUUUGUCACUCUGUCUGUUGAAAUCACGACUGCUGGUUUGGGCCGCACUGUGUUCCGGUAGGCCACUUACGCUGUCCUCUGGCACUGUUUGAAUGGUUAGUAUUGAGCAGGCAUGCUUCAAACUCAACCUUCACUGAAAUGCCUUCUGAAAUGGAAUUAUAUAGUGUGUUAGCUUCCGAUUAUCCUGCUUUUCAGUAUGUGUCAAGCAUCUCAUGGGACUGGACAUAUGUGUAUGUGUGUAAGGCUCUGCUCUGUACAGGACGGUGUGUAAGGGUGGGUAGUUAUGUCUAUCUGUUGCUAUGACUGCAGUCAUCAGCAGAGGCUGUGAGUGGGUGUGGGGUACAGUGUGCUGCUUGUCCCUGCUGACUUACUUGUGAGCAUGGGUUUCUGCAAUUCAGACUGCAUCCGUUAUUGCAACCGUGAAAUGUUUUACGCUGAUCAUAUCAAUCCUGAAAAUUGAGAUUUCAAAUUUGACAUUUCAUUUCACCAGUCAGUUCAUAAGCAGAACAUUAUUAUAAAAAAACUUGCCAU